rnacentral:tmRNA from 1 species
GGGCCUGUAAUGGUUUCGACAGGGAUCAUGAAGCUGGAGAAGCGAGCCGUACGGGAUGCGUGAAAUUCCAAACCUAAAAUUAAACGCUGAAGAUAAUAAUUUAGCAUUUGCAGCCUAAGCGCUGCACGCCUUNUUAAGGCGGCAGUCUGACCUAUUGCACCUGCACUUUGGGAUCAGGCUUCGACGAUGCAGGAAACGAUAUGUGUGAUCNGUUUUNGAUCUGUUUCGGGCACAUAGGCGUAUUAGAAACUACUGAAACCGGAAUUGUGCUUAUGUAAGUCCGGCGGAGGGAAUGGCUGUUCNUUGNANNGCAGAAACCAUAAGCUACGCUCGUAGAAGGACAGGGGAUUGGUUUUUGGACACGGGUUCGACUCCCGUCAGGUCCACUC